ensembl:lncRNA
CAGACCUAUGGCCUCUUGCUUCUCAAACCCAGGAGCAACACACACACAGUGCCGCAGUCUUUGUCUGACUGCUGUGAAAGUCCGAUGGCUCAGGAAUACUAAUCCCACUCGCAUGUCAUUUGGACGGACCAGAGGAGCAGCUAAUGGGGCAGGCGAGAUGAGGAGGAGACACUGUCGAUGGCUGUGUGGCAGUGUGUGUGAGUGGCAGAGUCCUCCCAGCCACAGAGAUAAAGAUUAGCAAAGGCCGAGCUGAACACAGAGGUCCAUUUACUGCACAUGGCACUGCACAUCAUCCCGCUACUGCUGCCAGUGAAAAACAGGCCUUCCACUUUGGGCAGAGUGAGACCUCAAUGGCAUGAUCAGGGGAUGGAGAGUGGAAGUGUGAUGAGAGAGGAGGAGUAAGAGAGAAAGAUAAAUGGGCUUAAUGGACUAUCAUGAAUGCAUUGGGCGGAGUCAUGCCAGUUGUAGGUACUCAUCAGCGAGUGAUAAUUCAACAGUAAAGGCUGCCACAGAAAAUGACCGUUUAUGAGUCCAAAACAGGGGGAGUCACUGUUUAAUAUUUCAUAUUCAUUAACAUUUGGAAGAAACUGUGAUUUAAAAGGGGGAAAAUCAAGUAUGAGAUUCUUUGGCAAAUGUUAAAAUGGUCCAGGAUUAAGCUGCUGUUAAUUAUUUAUGAACAUGAAUUUCACGAUUAUGGGUCUGACUGACGCACUGCAUUGAGCAGCUCCAAUUGAACACACAAUCAGUGGAUUUGAAAUAUGUCUCUGUUUCUCCAAGCUAAGUGUUAAGGCAUGAAUCAUUAAAUAUUUGCUGCAUUAAUUAUUCAGAUACGCCAAUUCUUAUUAGAAAAUAGGGUGAAGAAACUAAAAGUGUGUUAAAAUAAGACAGAAACAUCAUCUUGUCUAAGGGUCUGGAUGAAGUUAUUUGCUCUGGAGAUGUGUGUGUUCAGACUGUUUUGCUCCAUGUGCUGAAUCAGAGUCUUAUGGAAAGUGUGACCUGCUGCAGGGUGGGAUGGCUUCCUUGUUUUAUCUUUCAUUUUCUCAGCAUCCUUCCGUUAAAAGCUUCUAAAGAAUGAACUUGAUGAACUUCUUACAUUUUAGUUUGCAGCAGUUAUGCUCUUAACAAAACAGAAUCACCAUGAGGUACUGUAAUGUGUUUGUUCAGCAAGGAUUUUUUUUUAAUUAGUAUUGUAAUGUAUUUUGUUCAUUAAUUAGUUGAUUUUACAUUGAUUUUUAAUUUUAUAAUUUAACUUCCAAGCAAGGUUUUGUUAAGCCAACCAGUUUAAAUUGAUAAAAAUUUAUUUUCC